rnacentral:rRNA from 1 species
UACGGAGGGUGCAAGCGUUAAUCGGAAUUACUGGGCGUAAAGGGCACGCAGGUGGCUUGGCAAGUCGGAUGUGAAAGCCCCGGGCUUAACUUGGGAAUGGCAUUCGAUACUGCCGAGCUAGAGUAUGGGAGAGGAAAGCGGAAUUCCCGGUGUAGCGGUGAAAUGCGUAGAUAUCGGGAGGAACAUCAGUGGCGAAGGCGGCUUUCUGGCCCAAUACUGACACUCAUGUGCGAAAGCGUGGGGAGCAAACAGGAUUAGAAACCCCCGUAGUCC